rnacentral:rRNA from 1 species
UGCGGAGGGAUCAUUACCGAGUUUUCAACUCCCUAACCCUUCUGUGAACCUACCUAUCGUUGCUUCGGCGGACUCGCCCCAGCCCGGACGCGGACUGGACCAGCGGCCCGCCGGGGACCUCAAACUCUUGUAUUCCAGCAUCUUCUGAAUACGCCGCAAGGCAAAACAAAUGAAUCAAAACUUUCAACAACGGAUCUCUUGGCUCUGGCAUCGAUGAAGAACGCAGCGAAACGCGAUAAGUAAUGUGAAUUGCAGAAUCCAGUGAAUCAUCGAAUCUUUGAACGCACAUUGCGCCCGCCAGCAUUCUGGCGGGCAUGCCUGUUCGAGCGUCAUUUCAACCCUCGACCUCCCCUUGGGGGGGUCGGCGUUGGGGACCGGCAGCACACCGCCGGCCCUGAAAUGGAGUGGCGGCCCGUCCGCGGCGACCUCUGCGCAGUAAUACAGCUCGCACCGGAACCCCGACGCGGCCACGCCGUAAAACACCCAACUUCUGAACGUUGACCUCGAAUCAGGUAGGACUACCCGCUGAACUUAAGCAUA